rnacentral:rRNA from 1 species
AGUGAACGCUGGCGGUAGGCCUAACACAUGCAAGUCGAACGGCAGCACAGUAAGAGCUUGCUCUUACGGGUGGCGAGUGGCGGACGGGUGAGGAAUACAUCGGAAUCUACUUUUUCGUGGGGGAUAACGUAGGGAGACUUACGCUAAUACCGCAUACGACCUACGGGUGAAAGCAGGGGAUCUUCGGGCCUUGCGCGAUUGAAUGAGCCGAUGUCGGAUUAGCUAGUUGGCGGGGUAAAGGCCCACCAAGGCGACGAUCCGUAGCUGGUCUGAGAGGAUGAUCAGCCACACUGGAACUGAGACACGGUCCAGACUCCUACGGGAGGCAGCAGUGGGGAAUAUUGGACAAUGGGCGCAAGCCUGAUCCAGCCAUACCGCGUGGGUGAAGAAGGCCUUCGGAUUGUAAAGCCCUUUUGUUGGGAAAGAAAAGCAGCAGGUUAAUACCCCGCUGUUCUGACGGUACCCAAAGAAUAAGCACCGGCUAACUUCGUG